UACGAGGGGGGCGAGCGUUGUUCGGAAUUAUUGGGCGUAAAGCGCGCGCAGGUGGUUUCUUAAGUCUGAUGUGAAAGCCCACGGCUCAACCGUGGAGGGUCAUUGGAAACUGGGGGACUUGAGUACAGAAGAGAAGAGUGGAAUUCCACGUGUAGCGGUGAAAUGCGUAGAGAUCGGGAGGAACAUCAGUGGCGAAGGCGGCCAUCUGGGACAACACUGACGCUGAGGCACGAAAGCGUGGGGAGCAAACAGG
rnacentral:rRNA from 1 species